UACGUAGGGGGGCUAGCGUUGUCCGGAAUCAUUGGGCGUAAAGCGCGCGUAGGCGGCCAGAUAAGUCCGGUGUGAAAGUCACAGGCUCAACCUGUGAAUGCCGCUGGAAACUGUCUGGCUAGAGUCCGGAAGGGGCGAGUGGAAUUCCUGGUGUAGCGGUGAAAUGCGCAGAUAUCAGGAGGAACACCAAUGGCGAAGGCAGCUCGCUGGAACGGUACUGACGCUGAGGCGCGAAAGCGUGGGGAGCGAACAGG
rnacentral:rRNA from 1 species